GGGAGGGGCUGGGCGGGAAGAGAACCGUGGCGCGAAGGCGUGGCGGUGGCGGGUACCGGCCCGGCAGAGAAGUGGAACCUAGGGAUUGGUGACCCGGGACUGGGGGCUGGAAGACUUAAUUGGAGGAAGCCCCGCAGGUUACCAGUCAGCUAGAUGCUUCCAGAGUGCAUUCAGUGGAGUCGGAAGCCAGGCACCCACCCCUCCUCCUAGGGUGAAGCUGGGUUUAAUUCACCAAGUGGAUAUUUAUCUUCGGGCCAACUGUUAAUAUUGAGUGUCUGCCCUCUGCUAGCCAUUCUAGAGCGUGUUUGCGUUGUUGAGCUCAUUCAGUCGUGCUGUUUUUAGUAUCCAGAAUAAAAAAUUCUGAAAGCUUG